UACUGUUAUGUUCUGCAGGGCACAGUUGC
rnacentral:sRNA from 1 species